ACACAUGCAGUCGAGCGGGGAAGGGUAGCUUGCUACCUGACCUAGCGGCGGACGGGUGAGUAAUGCUUAGGAAUCUGCCUAUUAGUGGGGGACAACAUUCCGAAAGGAAUGCUAAUACCGCAUACGCCCUACGGGGGAAAGCAGGGGAUCUUCGGACCUUGCGCUAAUAGAUGAGCCUAAGUCAGAUUAGCUAGUUGGUGGGGUAAAGGCCUACCAAGGCGACGAUCUGUAGCGGGUCUGAGAGGAUGAUCCGCCACACUGGGACUGAGACACGGCCCAGACUCCUACGGGAGGCAGCAGUGGGGAAUAUUGGACAAUGGGCGAAAGCCUGAUCCAGCCAUGCCGCGUGUGUGAAGAAGGCCUUUUGGUUGUAAAGCACUUUAAGCGAGGAGGAGGCUAC
rnacentral:rRNA from 2 species